CUUUCACUCUUCUUAGCUCCCCGCCUCCAUCUCCAUGGCUAAGUAUGAAAAUCCUCAGCUAAUUCUGCUCCUUCUUUAGCUGAGAUCUACAGUGUAAGGGUGAAUGCAAUUAUUUUUGGUGCUAAAAAGAUGGGUUUAGUCUACUGAGCUUUGAUAUUCUAUUUUGUUGAUGAAGGGAGGGAGACUGUAGGAAGCUCGGACCCAUGGAAAACUAGAUAGUAUCAAAAUCCUCAGCUACUUGAGUGUAAGAUCCAACCUAUGGACCUCCCGAUCUACUGAGAGACCAUUUUUGUUGGCUGGUGUAGUUAGGAUAAGUAGUUUUUUCCUUUUUUUAUUUGCCUUACAAAGGCUGUAAAUCUUAUGCAUGUGGAAAACUAUUGCUUUUGCCUUCCCAUUAUGUUAUCACUAAAGUGCUGCUAACUUUAAGUAUGAAGUUUGAUACUUAUCACUAUUUAGAA